rnacentral:rRNA from 1 species
AUAGGUGGCGAGCGUUAUCCGGAAUUAUUGGGCGUAAAGGGUGCGCAGGCGGUUUGAAAAGUUUAAGGUGAAAGCGUGGGGCUUAACCCCAUACAGCCUUAGAAACUGUCAGACUAGAGUACAGGAGAGGGCAAUGGAAUUCCAUGUGUAGCGGUAAAAUGCGUAGAUAUAUGGAGGAACACCAGUGGCGUAGGCGGUUGCCUGGCCUGUAACUGACGCUCAUGCACGAAAGCGUGGGGAGCAAAUAGGAUUAGAUACCCUAGUAGUCCACGCCGUAAACGAUGAGAACUAAGUGUUGGGGAAACUCAGUGCUGCAGUUAACGCAAUAAGUUCUCCGCCUGGGGAGUAUGCACGCAAGUGUG